GACAGGAAUAGCCUCUUGUGAUGAACCUUCUCUCUGAGUGGCGCUGGUGAUGAACAUACCUGAGCCUCUAAGAAGUUGACUGAAGAAGCUACCUGUCA
rnacentral:snoRNA from 1 species